AUUGAACGCUGGCGGCAGGCCUAACACAUGCAAGUCGAACGGUAACAGGAAGCAGCUUGCUGCUUCGCUGACGAGUGGCGGACGUGUGAGUAAUGUCUGUGAAGCUGCCUGAUGGAGGGGGAUAACUACUGGAAACGGUAGCUAAUACCGCAUAAUUUCGCAAGACCAAAGAGCGGGACCUUCGGGCCUCUUGCCAUCUGAUGUGCCCAGAUGGGAUUAGCUUGUUGGUGGGGUAACGGCUCACCAAGGCGACGAUCCCUAGCUGGUCUGAGAGGAUGACCAGCCACACUGGGACUGAGACACGGUCCAGACUCCUACGGGAGGCAGCAGUGGGGAAUAUUGCACAAUGGGCGCAAGCCUGAUGCAGCCAUGCCGCGUGUAUGAAGAAGGCCUUCGGGUUGUAAAGUACUUUCAGCGGGGAGGAAGGGAGUAAAGUUAAUACCUUGGCUCAUUGACGUUACCCGCAGAAGAAGCACCGGCUAACUCCGUG
rnacentral:rRNA from 1 species